GAAGAAAUAGCAAUAUUACUUAAGCCUAGACAAACAUGACUUGAUUGUACAAACUACUAUGCACCGCAUAUCAGACCUGCACCAUGCAGUCUUGCUUGAAUGUGGUUGCCUGUUAAUCUAUAGACUAAAUAAAGCAGCAAGAAGGGUCCUCAUACCGCAUAUUUCGGUAGUUCUCAUUGUUAGCCUGCAUGAAGAGCACAUGGUUCUCUUGCCGCUUUAUUUAGUUUGUAGAUGGACAUGCAACACAUACAAGCAAGACUGCACGACGCAGAUCUGCUAUGCGGUGCAAAUAGUUUGUACAAUCAAGUCUUGUUUCUCCAAGCUUGAGUAAUAUUGUCAUUUCUUUUAUUCCACUUUUUGUCUUUUUAUUGAUUGUAUUCAUGCUGCAGCAUAAACUUAUCUUUAUCUUUUAGUUACAUGCCCAUGCAUGGUUGUUUGUCCUGUCUUGAAGUGAUGCCAAAUUAUGGUAGCAUAUGUAUAUACGUCAUCUUCUGAAUUUUUUGCCCUGGUAUUGGGGUACACCGACACGCACACACAAAUUCUUCAAAGUAUAUAUGUAUAUUAUUGGUGAAUUAUAUGCUAUGAAAUUAGCUGCUAUUAGCAGAAAGAAAUUAAUUUAUAUUCACACAAAUAACCAGGAUUGGUAUUUUUAAAUUAUUUAUUAUUUUAUUUUAUUUUGUACAUGAUCUUGGCGGGUGGCGAAACCUAAAAGAUCAGUAGGUCUGCUCUAAUCAAUGGUACGUAAAAAUCCUACUCGGUACUCGCCAUAUGAAUAACUUAUUCGUGUUCUACAAACAACUUCUCAUGUCUCUAGCAUAUUCGUUCUAGCUGAAGGCUUAUCGUCUCUUUAGGUAGUUCCACCCGAAGGGAACACUUCUCUACGGCCACAGGUUAUCCUGAUGCCUAAGCAAGAUGCAGGUUAACAAUGAGAACUACCAAAGAGUUAUCACCUACAGAGUCCCUUACAUAAGCACUAAGCUAAACAAAUAGACUGGGAUGUACAAAGGAAAUUACUUCAUAUAAAACAAACAAAGUUUACCAUUUGUUUACCUAUGGUUUUCCCUUUCAGGAACCCGCGAGCUUACAAAUAGAGCUGAAGUAUUACCUUCAAGCCCACACAGAGGUCGAUCUUUUUAUAACUAUAUUAGUUCAAUCUAUGACCAAAAUUAAGCUGUUCACACAUGCAUGCCUGAAGGAAUUAAAAACAUAAUCAAAUAUACUUCACUUGCUAAUCCUGCUGUACUGAAACUACGUAUAUACAGUUCUCUCGCCCGAAGCUCAUGGCGGCAGUAGAUGGUGCAGCGGCGGCCGUGGAAAUCCGGAGGUGGCAGCAGAGAGGAUUUGAGAUGCUCCGACUAGUGGCGGCGGUGACGCAGAACCAGAGGUGGCUGCAAGGAUUAUUUGGAAGUGGGAGGGGUAGCUCGGGCGAGCGGCGACACGGCCAUGUUGCUGGAAGUUGGCUCACGGUUUGCUCCCUUGUACAGUGCUUGGGAGGUACCUCAGUAACAAAUCAACAAUCCACCGUUCAUUCAUAUAGCAUACUAAUUUAGGAAUAGGAAAUAAUAUUAACAAGGGUAGCUUAGUAAUUGCUACAUUCCUAUUUGCUUUACAUAAUAUUGGCAUGACCCUGAAACCUCCCUUUGUGUUUAAUCCUAACCCUAUACCCCGAGUGAAAGAACGAGGUUGGAGCAGGCACAGAGCGUGCGGCGGCGGUGACAGGCGGGAGCGAUGGGCGCAUGCGGCGGCUACGACCGCGGCGCGCGUGAAGGGCGCGUGCAGCGGCGGCGCCAAUUAGCCAAGUCAGCCAAGCUAACUUAAUUUGAUUCUGGGAAUGGUUGCAGUUUGGACUAAGGAAAUGUUUCGGCUGCCAGCUUGCCGCUAUUGUUCUUCGUCCCACCUACAUGAGUGUGAGUACUCGCACGACAGCGGCAAAUGAAGUGCUCGACGGGUCUUGCUGUGCAGACAAUCACGCGAGAUGCUACAGUGAUUCUACUCUGAUCCUCCCAGGUCCCGUGGUAUCGUGUAAUU